UAUUUGCAGGGAGAUGGCAUCAGCCUCGGGCUCUUGAUGAGGAGACUGUCUACAGUCACAGAUGAAGAGAUGUCCAUUCAAUAUACAAGCGGCAUCUGUUCAUUGACACUAAAAGCCAGAAACUGGACAAAAAGCUAAAAAUUAAGAAAUUGGAGAAACAAACUGAAGAAUGAUCUGGAACAAAAUGAGUGAAUUAAUAUAUAACUUCUAACACAACUUUGGCACACUUUUCUUUCUUAAAUUAUACAUGC